rnacentral:rRNA from 1 species
AGUGGGGAAUAUUGCGCAAUGGGCGAAAGCCUGACGCAGCGACGCCGCGUGAGGGAUGAAGGCCUUCGGGUUGUAAACCUCUUUCAGCAGGGAAGAAGCGCAAGUGACGGUACCUGCAGAAGAAGCACCGGCUAACUACGUGCCAGCAGCCGCGGUAAUACGUAGGGUGCAAGCGUUGUCCGGAAUUAUUGGGCGUAAAGAGCUCGUAGGCGGUCUGUCGCGUCUGCUGUGAAAACGCGGGGCUCAACCCCGCGCCUGCAGUGGGUACGGGCAGACUAGAGUGCAGUAGGGGAGACUGGAAUUCCUGGUGUAGCGGUGGAAUGCGCAGAUAUCAGGAGGAACACCGGUGGCGAAGGCGGGUCUCUGGGCUGUAACUGACGCUGAGGAGCGAAAGCGUGGGUAGCGAA